rnacentral:rRNA from 1 species
AGGCCACUGCUAUUGGGAUCCGAUUAAGCCAUGCGAGUCGAAUGGUGCCCGCGAGGGUAACCAUGGCAUACGGCUCAGUAGAACAUGGAUAACCUGCCCUCAAGUGGGGGAUAACCUCGGGAAACUGAGGAUAAUACCCCAUAGGUCUGGGGUGCUGGAAUGCUACCAGGCUGAAAGCGUUUAGUGCUUGAGGAUGGGUCCAUGGCCUAUCAGGUAGUAGUAAGCGUAACGGACUUACUAGCCUACGACGGGUACGGGCGAUGGGAGUCGGAGCCCGGAGAUGGACUCUGAGACACGAGUCCAGGUCCUACGGGGCGCAGCAGGCGCGAAACCUUCGCAAUGGGCGAAAGCCCGACGAGGGGAUCCCAAGUGCUAUCAGCGUUGCUGAUGGCUGUUCUCCAGUCUAAAAAGCUGGAGAAGUAAGGGCUGGGUAAGACGGGUGCCAGCCGCCGCGGUCAUACCCGCAGCCCAAGUGGGGGCCACUAUUAUUGGGUCUAAAACAUCCGUAGCCGGUCUAGCAAAUGCCUAGGGAAAUUGAGUGGCUUAACCAUUCGAAGUCUAGGUAGACUGCUGGACUUGAGACCGGGAGAGGUCAGAGGUACUCUCGGGGUAGCGGUAAAAUGCUGUAAUCCUGAGAGGACCACCAGUGGCGAAGGCGUCUGACCAUAACGGCUCUGACGGUAAGGGAUGAAGCCCUGGGGCGCGAACCGGAUUAGAUACCCGGGUAGUCCAGGGUGUAAACGCUGCUGGCUUGGUGUUGGGUAACCCUCGUGGUUGCUCAGUGCCGGAGUGAAGAUGUUAAGCCAGCUACCUGGGAAGUACAGUCGCAAGACUGAAACUUAAAGGGAUUGGCGGGGGAGCACCGCAACGGGUGGAGCGUACGGUUU